UGGGGAAUCUUCCGCAAUGGACGAAAGUCUGACGGAGCAACGCCGCGUGAGUGAUGACGGCCUUCGGGUUGUAAAACUCUGUUAUACGGGACGAAUGGACGAGAGGCCAAUACCCUUUCGGAGUGACGGUACCGUAAGAGAAAGCCACGGCUAACUACGUGCCAGCAGCCGCGGUAAUACGUAGGUGGCAAGCGUUGUCCGGAAUUAUUGGGCGUAAAGGGCGCGCAGGUGGUUUCUUAAGUCUGUCUUAAAAGUGCGGGGCUUAACCCCGUGAGGGGACGGAAACUGGGAGACUAGAGUAUCGGAGAGGAAAGCGGAAUUCCUAGUGUAGCGGUGAAAUGCGUAGAUAUUAGGAGGAACACCAGUGGCGAAAGCGGCUUUCUGGACGACAACUGACACUGAGGCGCGAAAGCCAGGGGAGCAAACGGG
rnacentral:rRNA from 1 species